rnacentral:tRNA from 1 species
ACCUGAGUGGCUCAGUUGGUUGAGUGUCUGACUUUAGCUCAGGUCGUGAUCUCACAGUUGGUGGAUUUGAGUCCCACAUCGGGCU